rnacentral:tRNA from 1 species
GGGUUGUUAGCUCAGUUGGUAGAGCAGCCGCCUCUUAAGCGGAAGCGCGUAGGUUCGAAGCCUACACAGCCCAUCA